rnacentral:rRNA from 1 species
GGGUGCGAUCAUACCAGUGUUAAUGCAAUGAAUCUCAUUAGAACUCCGCAGUUAAGUUCUCUUGGGCUAGAGUAGUACUAGGAUGGGUGACCUCCCGGGAAGUCCUAGUGUUGCACUCU